GUUCGGCGUUCGAGAAAGGCAGGGAGCAAUUCAGCUUCCUGGAGAAGAGAACUGAGAGAAGGUGUGUUCUGGCAUGGUGGGCGAGGUGAGGCAAGGACAGGAAGCAGAGGCUCUGGAGAACCGCCCAGGGGGUGUGGAGCCUGUAGGAUGCGGUUCCGUGAGCUGGCUCCCAGCCAUGCUUUCUGAAUGACUCUGGUAUACUCAUCACUUCUGUGGCCUCUCAGUCCACUUGGGUAUAGCUUCUGCUCUCCUCCACGUCAUGAAGUCUCUCCCCAAGGACCCCAACGAGCUCCAAGACACUAAAUCAACCAGACACUUGUUCUUCAAUAGCCUUUUAUGCGGUGAAGACUCUUCAACUCUCGUGCGACUCUCUGUCCAACUUCGUACUAGACAGCUCCGUUCGGCUACUUUGCUAUAACAAAGAGAAUGCAAAAUACAGUGGCUCAAGGAAGACAGAAAUUUAUGCUCUUUCACACCACCGUGCAGAGUCUGGGGAGGUCUGUUCCACAAAGGUGUCCAGAGACUUUGGUUUUUCUACCUUGCUGCUUCACCAUCUAGGGUACUGUCCUCUUCCACAGAGUGGCAUAUGUCUCAACAGCACUGUGUUCCAGCAUGCAUGAAAGGGAAGAGGAAGCUGAAGGCGACCAGGCCCCUUUUACAAAAGUGACGCAGCACAUGGCACUUACACACCCAACCUGGGUGGCCAUACCUAGUUGCAAGCUAAGCUAGGGAGAGUGGCCUUGCAGUCAGUUAAAGCUGAGGCAUUUUGUUGCAAAAGUGAAAAAUAGAAGGCCCUGGGCUUUUUCAAUCCUUGCUAGAAGGAUAAGAAAUUAAGAAAAUCUGUAUAAGUGACCUGAGGCACAAAGACAAAGUUUAUCCAACUGACUAGUCAGAUCAUG
rnacentral:lncRNA from 1 species